UACGGAGGAUCCGAGCGUUAUCCGGAUUCAUUGGGUUUAAAGGGUGCGUAGGCUGUAAGGUAAGUCAGCGGUGAAAUGCCCCCGCUCAACGGGGUGAAGUGCCAUUGAUACUGCCUUGCUGGAAUGCGGAUGCCGUGGGAGGAAUGUGUGGUGUAGCGGUGAAAUGCAUAGAUAUCACACAGAACACCGAUUGCGAAGGCAUCUCACGAAUCCGCGAUUGACGCUGAUGCACGAAAGCGUGGGUAUCAAACAGGA
rnacentral:rRNA from 1 species